AAAAAAGAUGUUAAUGACUUUUAUACAUACAUAUAUAAGGUAAGUCAUUAAUGCAUAUAAAUGUUAUAUUUCUAGUCCCUUUAUUCUUUGAAUAGAAAGGAUCAUUAUAAAUACAAGAAAAUUCUGUAUUUCCAUAAGGAAACUGCUGCAAAUUUUAAUUUUUUUUGUAUUUUUCAAAUCUAUGAUAAUGUUAUAAUAGAGGUAGUAGUAGUGGAUGAUGAAAUUAGGCCUACAGUAAGCAGUGUGAGUUUAUAUAUGUUUUGUGCAACAUGUAUAUAUCAUAUAUUUUAUUUUAUUAUUAUUAUUUUUUACUUUGGGAAGGAUAUUGUCUUUGGGGAGAGUGGAGGAAUUCCACUGCAAGACUGAGUUAUUUUUGUUUAUAUUAUACUUGUCCGGGGAGAGACCUCCCAGAUUUCCCACACACACACUCCCUUGCUUACUUGGUGUGGGGAAAGAGGUUUCUUUUGUGUGUCUUCUGUAAUUAUUGUAGUUUUAAU
rnacentral:lncRNA from 1 species